rnacentral:tRNA from 1 species
GCGGGCGUGGCGGAACGGUAGACGCAUGGGACUUAAACUCCCUGGGCCUGAAGGCCGUGCGGGUUCAAGUCCCGCCGCCCGCA